GAUGAACGCUAGCGACAGGCCUAACACAUGCAAGUCGAGGGGCAGCACAUGAGUAGCAAUACGAUGGUGGCGACCGGCGCACGGGUGAGUAACACGUAUGCAACCUGCCUGUAAGAGGGGGAUAACCCGGAGAAAUUCGGACUAAUACCGCAUAAUACCACGAGACUGCAUGGUUUUGUGGUUAAACAUUUAUGGCUUACAGAUGGGCAUGCGUAUGAUUAGAUAGUUGGUAGGGUAAUGGCCUACCAAGUCUACGAUCAUUAGGGGUUCUGAGAGGAAGGUCCCCCACACUGGUACUGAGACACGGACCAGACUCCUACGGGAGGCAGCAGUGAGGAAUAUUGGUCAAUGGGCGAGAGCCUGAACCAGCCAAGUCGCGUGAAGGAAGAAGGUUCUAUGGAUUGUAAACUUCUUUUGCAGGGGAAUAAAGGACGGUACGUGUACUGUUUUGUAUGUACCUUGCGAAUAAGGAUCGGCUAACUCCGUGCCAGCAGCCG
rnacentral:rRNA from 1 species